AGAGACAGCAGUAGCCACGGUAAUACGUAGGUGGCAAGCGUUGUCCGGAAUUAUUGGGCGUAAAGCGCGCGCAGGUGGUUAUGUAAGUCUGAUGUGAAAAUGCAGGGCUCAACUCUGUAUUGCGUUGGAAACUGCAUGACUAGAGUACUGGAGAGGUAAGCGGAACUACAAGUGUAGAGGUGAAAUUCGUAGAUAUUUGUAGGAAUGCCGAUGGGGAAGCCAGCUUACUGGACAGAUACUGACGCUAAAGCGCGAAAGCGUGGGUAGCAAACAGGAUUAGAGACCCCCGUAGUCCCUGUCUCUUAUACA
rnacentral:rRNA from 1 species